GACGUAGGGCGCGAGCGUUAUCCGGAUUUAUUGGGCGUAAAGAGCUCGUAGGCGGCUCGUUGCGUCAAUCGUGAAAGCCCGGGGCUCAACCCCGGAACGGCACCCGAGACGGCGGGGCUGGAGACCGGGAGAGGAGGGUGGAAUAGCCAGUGUAGAGGUGAAAUUCGUAGAUAUUGGCUGGAACACCGGUGGCGAAAAGCGGCGUCCGUCUGGCCCGGUUCUGACGCUGAGGCGCGAAAGCGUGGGGAGCAAACAGG
rnacentral:rRNA from 1 species